GUCAGUAGCGCGUGGCGAACCUACUCUAAGUGGGGGAUAACCUUCCGAAAGGAGGGCUAAUACCGCAUGACAUCCCAUUUUUGGAUAGAUGGACAUCAAAGCCGGGGAUCGCAAGACCUGGCGCUUGGAGAGGGGCCCGCGUCCGAUUAGCUAGUUGGUGAGGUAACGGCUCACCAAGGCUCCGAUCGGUAUCCGGCCUGAGAGGGCGGACGGACACACUGGGACUGAGACACGGCCCAGACUCCUACGGGAGGCAGCAGUGGGGAAUUGUUCGCAAUGGGCGCAAGCCUGACGACGCAACGCCGCGUGGAGGAUGAAGAACUUUCGGUUCGUGAACUCCUUUCGACCGAGAUGAAAACCUCCCGACUUAAUACGUUGGGAGGCUGACAGUAUCGAGGGGGAAGCAGCCCCAGGGUUAACUCCCG
rnacentral:rRNA from 1 species